rnacentral:rRNA from 1 species
AUUGAACGCUGGCGGCAGGCCUAACACAUGCAAGUCGAGCGGAUGAAGGGAGCUUGCUCCUGGAUUCAGCGGCGGACGGGUGAGUAAUGCCUAGGAAUCUGCCUGGUAGUGGGGGAUAACGUCCGGAAACGGGCGCUAAUACUGCCUACGUCCUGAGGGAGAAAGUGGGGGAUCUUCGGACCUCACGCUCUCAGAUGAGCCUAGGUCGGAUUAGCUAGUUGGUGGGGUAAAGGCCUACCAAGGCGACGAUCCGUAACUGGUCUGAGAGGAUGAUCAGUCACACUGGAACUGAGACACGGUCCAGACUCCUACGGGAGGCAGCAGUGGGGAAUAUUGGACAAUGGGCGAAAGCCUGAUCCAGCCAUGCCGCGUGUGUGAAGAAGGUCUUCGGAUUGUAAAGCACUUUAAGUUGGGAGGAAGGGCAGUAAGUUAAUACCUUGCUGUUUUGACGUUACCAACAGAAUAAGCACCGGCUAACUUCGUG